UAAUACUCCAUAGAUUAGAGACACUGGAAUGUUCUUUAUUCGAAAGUUCUGGCGCCUUAGGAUGAAUCUGCGGUCGAUUAGGUUGUUGUUGGGGUAACGGCCCAACAAGCCUUUAAUCGAUACGGGUUGUGGGAGCAAGAGCCCGGAGAUGGAAUCUGAGACACGAUUGCAGGCCGUACGGGGCGCAGCAGGCGCGAAAACUUUACAAUGCAGGAGACUGUGAUAAGGGAACUCCGAGUGCCCGUAUACGCGGGCUGUCCAGGUGUUUAAAAAUCAUCUGAAGAAAGGGCCGGGCAAGACCGGUGCCAGCCGCCGCGGUAAUACCGGCGGCUCGAGUGGUGGCCACUAUUAUUGGGCUUAAAGCGUCCGUAGCUGGACCGAUAAGUCUCUUGGGAAAUCCGCCGGCUCAACCGGCGGGCGUCUAAGGGAUACUGUUAGUCUAGGGACCGGGAGAGGUGAGAGGUACUCCGGGGGUAGGAGUGAAAUCCUGUAAUCCCCGGGGGACCACCGAUGGCGAAGGCAUCUCACCAGAACGGCUCCGACAGUGAGGGACGAAAGCUGGGGGAGCGAACCGGAUUAGAUACCCGGGUAGUCCCAGCCGUAACUAUGGCGCGUGUAGGUGU
rnacentral:rRNA from 1 species